CAAUAGCGUAUAUUAAAGUUGUUGCGGUUAAAAAGCUCGUAGUUGGAUUUCUGCUGAGAACGACCGGUCCGCCCUUUGGGUGUGUAUCUGGCUCUUUCUUGGCAUCUUCUUGGUGAACGUUGCUGCACUUGACUGUGUGGAGCGCUACCCAGGACUUUUACUUUGAGGAAAUUAGAGUGUUUCAAGCAGGCAUACGCCUUGAAUACAUUAGCAUGGAAUAAUAAGAUAGGACCUCGGUUCUAUUUUGUUGGUUUCUAGAGCUGAGGUAAUGAUUAAUAGGGAUAGUUGGGGGCAUUCGUAUUUAACUGUCAGAGGUGAAAUUCUUGGAUUUGUUAAAGACGGACUACUGCGAANGNAUUUGCNAAGGAUGUUUNCGUUG
rnacentral:rRNA from 1 species